rnacentral:snRNA from 1 species
GGAUGUGAAGCGAACUAGUUUCCUAUCUGAUCUAGGUCUGUCGCCUCCCUGAUCAAUCCCCACAGUUGAAUCAGCUGAUCUGGCUGACUAGAAGGGUAUCUCCUCCUCUUUCACUGCUCCGUAUAUGUCCCUCCUGAAGCUUGGAACAACUUCCUUCCAUAGGGGCAGACCAUUUCCUAGGUCAAGGGUAUAGGAGUAGCUGCUUUUCCCUUCUAGAAAGAACCUCCAGACAAGCUCUCAAGAUUUCCAUUUUAUUCCUUUCCACUAAG